UACGGGGGGGGCAAGCGUUGUUCGGAAUUACUGGGCGGAAAGGGCUCGUAGGCUGCCAACUAAGUCAGACGUGAAAUCCCUCGGCUUAACCGGGGAACUGCGUCUGAUACUGGAUGGCUUGAGAUUGGGAGAGGGAUGCGGAAUUCCAGGUGUAGCGGUGAAAUGCGUAGAUAUCUGGAGGAACACCGGUGGCGAAGGCGGCAUCCUGGACCAACACUGACGCUGAUGAGCGAAAGCCAGGGGAGCAAACGGG
rnacentral:rRNA from 1 species